rnacentral:rRNA from 1 species
UACGUAGGGUGCAAGCGUUAAUCGGAAUUACUGGGCGUAAAGCGUGCGCAGGCGGUUGUGCAAGACAGAUGUGAAAUCCCCGGGCUCAACCUGGGAAUUGCAUUUGUGACUGCACGGCUAGAGUGUGUCAGAGAGGGGUAGAAUUCCACGUGUAGCAGUGAAAUGCGUAGAGAUGUGGAGGAAUACCGAUGGCGAAGGCAGCCCCCUGGGAUAACACUGACGCUCAUGCACGAAAGCGUGGGGAGCAAACAGG